rnacentral:rRNA from 1 species
UACGAAGGGGGCUAGCGUUGUUCGGAUUUACUGGGCGUAAAGCGCACGUAGGCGGAUCUUUAAGUCAGAGGUGAAAUCCCAAGGCUCAACCUUGGAACUGCCUUUGAUACUGGGGAUCUUGAAUCCGGGAGAGGUGAGUGGAAUUCCGAGUGUAGAGGUGAAAUUCGUAGAUAUUCGGAAGAACACCAGUGGCGAAGGCGGCUCACUGGACCGGCAUUGACGCUGAGGUGCGAAAGCGUGGGGAGCAAACAGG